rnacentral:misc_RNA from 1 species
UGUUGACCACUGGAAUGACC